rnacentral:misc_RNA from 1 species
GAUGAAGAACGCAGCGAAACGCGAUAAGUAAUGUGAAUUGCAGAAUCCAGUGAAUCAUCGAAUCUUUGAACGCACAUUGCGCCCGCCAGCAUUCUGGCGGGCAUGCCUGUUCGAGCGUCAUUUCAACCCUCGACCUCCCCUUGGGGAGGUCGGCGUUGGGGACCGGCAGCACACCGCCGGCCCUGAAAUGGAGUGGCGGCCCGUCCGCGGCGACCUCUGCGCAGUAAUACAGCUCGCACCGGGACCCCGACGCGGCCACGCCGUAAAACACCCAACUUCUGAACGUUGACCUCGAAUCAGGUAGGACUACCCGCUGAACUUAAGCAUAUCAAUAAGGGAGGA